rnacentral:rRNA from 1 species
CGGGACGGGUGAGUAAUGUCUGGGAAACUGCCUGAUGGAGGGGGAUAACUACUGGAAACGGUAGCUAAUACCGCAUAACGUCGCAAGACCAAAGAGGGGGACCUUCGGGCCUCUUGCCAUCGGAUGUGCCCAGAUGGGAUUAGCUAGUAGGUGGGGUAACGGCUCACCUGGGCGACGAUCCCUAGCUGGUCUGAGAGGAUGACCAGCCACACUGGAACUGAGACACGGUCCAG